rnacentral:rRNA from 1 species
GACGAACCGUCCAAACGUUAUUCGGUAUCACUGGGCUUAAAGGGUGCGUAGGCGGCCGAGUAAGUUGGGUGUGAAAGCCCUCGGCUCAACCGAGGAAUUGCGCCCAAAACUGCUCGGCUCGAGGGAGAUAGAGGUGAGCGGAACUUAGGGUGGAGCGGUGAAAUGCGUUGAUAUCCUAAGGAACACCGGAGGCGAAGGCGGCUCACUGGGUCUUUCCUGACGCUGAGGCACGAAAGCUAGGGGAGCAAACAGG